rnacentral:misc_RNA from 1 species
ACCAAGGAGAUUGGAGUAACUUGCAGUUCUUGACCAAUGUUACACUGGUCCUGUUACAGAAAAGCUAGAAAGGGCAAGGACUCGCACAGAGAGGAUAAAUGUUUAGUAAGCAGGAUGCAGUAGAUGGAGGUAAAAGGUGUAUAGCGAUUUCCCUGUGCGCCUCCCUCAAUUCCCAAGGCUAGUUUCCAUCUAACUUGACGCAACACACCGGUAAUUUGUAUCUGACCGGGCCUGCCGUUCUUCCUUAUCAUUUUUUAUAAAUGGUUGAUAGGCUCGGUAACGCAGGACGAAAGUAGAAAAUGGUCAUGAAACACCUUGUUCACGCGAACUUUCUCUCCUUUCUCGCUAGAGUGAAAAACUCGUUGACAUCAUGUUCUAUGAGAUGUCCGAAGAUAAAUUUGGUACUUCGAAAAUGUUUCAGAACUUUUGCGUCAGAAUAUCGAAGUUUGUCAUGGGACUUUAAUUUUUCAGCUGGAAUUCAGGAAAUUUUUUACAGAAUUUUUGUUUAUAGUUAAUACGUAAGAAUAAUUUGUUCGCAGUAUUUCUAUGCAUACAUUGCUCUUACGAAAGAAAAUGGAAGAAUAUCGCUCCUCAUCACGUUUAAUGGAUCGUGCUUCUGGAAAUCCAAAGCACGUUGUCCCCGGAAGCUUAACCCUGCCAUGAUCCUCGAAUAAUUUCUACUUCAAUUUACAUUCUACCGUUUCUGAAAGCUUAGCUUUUCACUUUAUCGAAAAUACAAUUAAUAUUCGAAAGUGAUAUUCACAUACGACGAGGCAGUGCUGG